AAGUCGUAACAAGGUUUCCGUAGGUGAACCUGCGGAAGGAUCAUUAACACGUAUCCACGUACCCACCCAACGCGCACCUGUUUUCGCUCUCCCUGCUCCUUCUGCUGGUGGAUGGACCGGCGGCUGCAUGGGGCUCUCCCUGCGAGAGUCGCCUCCGGUCUGAUUCGCGCGCUUCGCGGCGCGCGGACGCAGUAGAGGAGUAGGCCAUUUUCUUUGCUCUCUGGCUCCAGCAGCCGGAGGGUGAGGAGUCUCUACACGAAUAGCACUCCCUUUUGCUAGUUGACUUAAUUCCUGCAGCUCUGCUCGCAGCGCUGCUCGUUGUAUUCCAACGAUCGAAACAACUCUUAGCAAUGGAUAUCUUGGUUCUCGC
rnacentral:misc_RNA from 1 species